UACGAAGGGGGCUAGCGUUGCUCGGAAUUACUGGGCGUAAAGCGCACGUAGGCGGCUUUCUAAGUCGGGGGUGAAAUCCUGGAGCUCAACUCCAGAACUGCCUUCGAUACUGGAGUGCUUGAGUCCGGGAGAGGUGAGUGGAACUGCGAGUGUAGAGGUGAAAUUCGUAGAUAUUCGCAAGAACACCAGUGGCGAAGGCGGCUCACUGGCCCGGUACUGACGCUGAGGUGCGAAAGCGUGGGGAGCAAACAGGAUUAAGAAAC
rnacentral:rRNA from 1 species